rnacentral:rRNA from 1 species
UACGUAGGGUGCAAGCGUUGUCCGGAAUUAUUGGGCGUAAAGAGCUCGUAGGCGGUUUGUCGCGUCUGCUGUGAAAACUCGGGGCUUAACCCCGGGCCUGCAGUGGGUACGGGCAGACUAGAGUGCGGUAGGGGAGACUGGAAUUCCUGGUGUAGCGGUGAAAUGCGCAGAUAUCAGGAGGAACGCCGGUGGCGAAGGCGGGUCUCUGGGCCGUAACUGACGCUGAGGAGCGAAAGCGUGGGGAGCGAACAGG